CAGGCCCUGGGACUCAAGGAAAGAGAGGGAGUGCCAAGCUGUUACUGUUUACCCUCUGGCCCAGAUCUUUCUUCAGAAGAAACCUGAGUGGUCUCACAGACUUCCUCGGUUGUGCUGUUUUACUGAGGUUGGGUGGAGUCAACACAUCAUGGAUAAAGAAGUCCCUAAAGGCAGUCCCAGGGAGCCCGCACUGAACAUCAAGAAGUCAGACAAAUCCUUCAAACGCAAGAAGCCCACCGAAAAUGUGCUGAUCUUUUUAAUCAACAGACAACUGGGCAGGCACAGAAGUGACAUCGACCUGUCAAGAUGGGUGUGGAUGCUGUCAUAAAGCAACUCUAGGGUGGACAUGGCCUUGGACAAAAAGUCAUGUGGCUUACGUGCUGAAGCCUGCCCAUAUUUUUGAGAAAUUAAAUAUAAUUAGAACAAUAAACUCCUCCCAUGUUUGAGUCAUUAAAACAGAGUCUGUCAUUUCACUCCUUGAGGUUGGAUGUGUGUUUGCUGACAGGGUGUUCUUGGGUUACACUGGAAGGGGCUUCUGUUCAUCCUAACACGCUGUGCAGGGGUGCUUAGACCCAGGGGAGAGGGUGAGAUCAUGCUGCACACCAGAUCUCUCCCACCAUCAAUCUGAAAAACACUGCAAAGUCAAAGUGAUGUAGUACUUGGCAUUUAAGGACCAAAGACUCUUCUCCCUAGCCAUUUUGAAGAGACUGCCCUGGUGUUCCCCUCUAAAACCCAAUGCUUGUCCUAGUGAAAAGACAUUGUUUAAGAGCAGACCAACAGUUGGCCUGGGGGUUUGGGAUAUGUUUUAAUACUGCCAAUGUCAUAUCCACAGAGCCUUCCAGAGGCAACCGCUCUGCCCUUUGUCCCCAGGAAAGUAUAGAAUGCUCUGGUCACUUUUUUGUGUCAUGUCAAACAAACCUGCUCAGGCCACAGCCAAAGAUAAUUCAUUUGACUGAAAUGAAGCCACCUGGUAGGACAACAACACACAUGAGAUGGCUCCCAUUGAAGAAGCUCUGUCCCCAAGGAAUGUGCUGAGCAAGUCAGAUACUCAUUCUGAGAAACCUGAAAUGGGAACUAUGUGGGCAAUUGGUCACUGACAAGUGAGAGUUAAAGCUGAAGAGGGGACAGGGAGAGCAAAGAGGUCAGAGCCGUGGCAAACAUGGGCAAGCCUAAGUGAGGAGUAAGAUGAAAUUUACAUAAGGUGAACCAUUAAAGCCAUCACAGAUUCCAAGCAUUUCU
rnacentral:lncRNA from 10 species